UCCAGUGUAGUGUAGUGGUUUGAAUGAUAGACUGCGACUCUGGAGAUCUUGGUUCGAUUCCCUACCCAGCCUUGAAA